rnacentral:rRNA from 1 species
UACGGGGGGGGCAAGCGUUGUUCGGAAUUACUGGGCGUAAAGGGCUCGUAGGCGGCCAACUAAGUCAGACGUGAAAUCCCUCGGCUUAACCGGGGAACUGCGUCUGAUACUGGAUGGCUUGAGAUUGGGAGAGGGAUGCGGAAUUCCAGGUGUAGCGGUGAAAUGCGUAGAUAUCUGGAGGAACACCGGUGGCGAAGGCGGCAUCCUGGACCCACACUGACGCUGAGGAGCGAAAGCCAGGGGAGCAAACGGG